CGGAACAGGCCGCAGACCAGUCUGCACUGUCAUUUGGAAGGCAGGCAGGGAGGUGGAAGAAGCCCCCGUCACCCUCCUCGCAGCUGCUGUGGCUGCCACCACCCCAUCCCGCCACGAAGCUGCCCGAUUUUCAAGAUCACUAUAGACCACCAAAUACUGUUGACUGGUACAAAAAUCUACUUAGACAUUUGAGAAAAUGAUCCAAAAUAUCUGGCAGAUAUUUUGCUGGGUCGACCAACAAGUGACUGGAGAGCCUUCACAAGAUUUCUAUUCAUUUUUCCACUACCAUGAAUUUUCCUAUUCUAAAAUAUCUGAAGUUCACACUGGGUAAGGAGGGUGAAAUAAUUGCUGCAGCAUCCUCUAGGUAACCUUUGCUGUCAGCAAGGAGCACGGAUGUUAAGGUUACAUCAACAGGGUUAAUUUAUUUAUAUUGUGCAUACUUUAGAGUUUAUGAUAUAGGUAUACACUUGAGAAUAUAAACAGCAAUGUAUCUGGCUACAUCCUCAUUUUUUAAAAAGGAAGAAAAGUAAAUACGACGAGUGUAUGUUCUGGCCAUCUUAAUGUUUUUGGAACCACUGACUAACUUGUGCAUAUUAUUUCACUGAUGCAAGCCUUAUAUGUUGCAAUUAAAUAAGGUCUGGGGUGCUGAAAAUAGCAGCUUCAAAAUGCAAAAGGUUGACUUACAAAGAAAUAAAGAAUAUAACCAAUACAUCUUCAAAAAUGA